UUUUUAAGACAUUUGCGUUAUCCACCCGAACUGGAUGUGCGGGGAUCUGAACUCCUCACAUUACGAGAAGUCUAGAUCCCUGUACUUCCAGUUCAAGUUGAUGAAAAUCGCAUGACAGUGAAAUGUCUUCUAGA